AGAAUAUCUAGACACGAGAUUAUGGGGGUCUUUGUAAAAUCACCACCACGCUGUAACCAUGAUAGAUCGCCAGACUGCCUCAGACAGGCGUGUUGAUGUUGUGUACAGCUGACUCAGUAUCAAAUGGAUUCUCUUCAUGUCUUCAUUGAAUUAUAGAUUUCUUUCUAAUGGCGAUGGAUGAACUAGCCUGGCCUUUUUGAUUUUACUAGUGAGGCCAAGGUCAAUGUAGUAGUGAGGAUGUAUGUGUCCAUAGUAACCUUGCUGGCCCAGAGAAAGUAGAACAAGGGCCUCUUUCUCUGGUAUCUAUAGGUCUCUUGUACACGUUGGCAAACUCUAAAGACUGUAUUUUCCAGAACAGCCAGCUAUGACUUGGUGUAAUAGUUAAUCUUGAUUGUUAACUUUCUGAAAUCUAGAGUCUCCUGGGAAAAGAGCUUCUAGGGAUGCCUGUGGAAGAUUAUCUUGACUAGGUUACUUGAGGUGAAAAGAACUGCCCAGUGUGGGUGGCAUCAUUCCCUAGGCUGGAAUCCCGAACUGUAUAAAAAGGAAAAAGUGAGCUGAGCACAGCAUUCACAGCUCCCAAACUCUUGAUAUGAAUGUGAGGUGACUGCCUGCUUCAAGCUACUAUCACCAUGAUUCCAUAUUUUGGUAGGCUUGGAACUGUGAGCCAAAAUAAACCCCUUUCUCCUUUACAUUUUUUUUCCUUUCAGAGUAAUUUAUUACAACAUCAGAAAUGAAGCUAAGACAUUUUAGUAACAAGUAGUUUAGCUGCAAUCCCUCUAUGAUGAGACCAGGCUUACCACCAGUACUUCCAAGAAGGGACUCUAGAUAGCAGUUUCCUGCCUCAAGCUAAGACCACACCAGGCAGUGGGUGAGCCUCAUAGAUGGUUUGCCACAUAUGCAGGAUGUACCAUAGACACUAGAGAGCUGUCUAUCCUACUAGCUCUUGACCAGCCCAUGUUAUGUGGAUACACCAUCCCUGCCAUAUGAACCUUGGUCUCAUCACUAAAAGUCCUGGGUUAGUCUAUCCCUUAAAAACCAAUAGAAAAACAUCUGUAACCCAGUGAUCACAGGUGUUCUGUAAAGGAGAGUCCUGACUAAUAGGAGUGUCCUAGAAAGCUCAUCCCUGCUUCUCACAGGCUAUGUUGACUCCUGGCCUCCACAGAUGAAAGCAACUGGACAAGUGAUUGGAUUCUUCACAAAAGCCAGUUAGAUCGGGGAGCCACCACAAGCAAGACAACAGACUGUCAAUGUCUUGUUUGCCUCCCAUUAUUCAGGCAUAUAUUUGGCCCCAGUGUUUUUAUGCAGGGUCCUGGAGUUGGUUCAAUAGUUCCACCGACAUCCAUACAACAAGCCACCCAGAAAGUCAUCACCUGUGACUUACAGUGUUUAAGUGGAAGGGAAGUAUACAUACCAGACAACCGUCUGGGAUCAUAGUCCUUGAUAUAGGCAGCUCUCUCCAGUUAUCCUACCACUAUCCCCUCCCACUCUCACUCCCACCCCCAAACUUUAUCAGAUGGGUCUUUAUCUAAGGCCCCCAAAGCUCAGCCUACUUAACAUAAAACAAGACAUAUACACUCCUGUGGCUGUGGAUGUAGCUCCGUUGGUAGAGUGUUCAUCUAGCAUGUACAAAGUCCCAAGUGUGAUCCCAAGUACCUCAUAAUGUAGGUGUGGUGGGACAUACCUAUAAUCUCUUAGCACUCAGAAGGUAGACGCAGGAGAAUCAUAAAUUCAAAGUCUUUCCUGCCCAUAUAGCUAGGUUAGGGCCAAUCUUGGAUACAUGAGACCCUGUCUCAAAAU
rnacentral:lncRNA from 1 species